rnacentral:tRNA from 1 species
GAGAGAUUAGCCAAGUGGUAAGGCGCAGAGUUGCAUGCAAUAAACGGAAAGACUGUAAUCGGUGGUUCAAUUCCAUCAUCUCUCA